AGUGAACGCUGGCGGUAGGCCUAACACAUGCCAGUCGAACGGCAGCACAGUAAGAGCUUGCUCUUACGGGUGGCGAGUGGCGGACGGGUGAGGAAUACAUCGGAAUCUACUUUUUCGUGGGGGAUAACGUAGGGAAACUUACGCUAAUACCGCAUACGACCUACUGGUGAAAGCAGGGGAUCUUCGGACCUUGCGCGAUUGAAUGAGCCGAUGUCGGAUUAGCUAGUUGGCGGGGUAAAGGCCCACCAAGGCGACGAUCCGUAGCUGGUCUGAGAGGAUGAUCAGCCACACUGGAACUGAGACACGGUCCAGACUCCUACGGGAGGCAGCAGUGGGGAAUAUUGGACAAUGGGGGCAAGCCUGAUCCAGCCAUACCGCGUGGGUGAAGAAGGCCUUCGGGUUGUAAAGCCCUUUUGUUGGGAAAGAAAAGCAGCAGGUUAAUACCCCGCUGUUCUGACGGUACCCAAAGAAUAAGCACCGGCUAACUUCGUG
rnacentral:rRNA from 1 species